CGCCUGGUAGCGGGGGAUAACUAUUGGAAACGAUAGCUAAUACCGCAUAACAGUAGAUAUUGCAUGAUAUCUGCUUGAAAGGUGCAAUUGCAUCACUACCAGAUGGACCUGCGUUGUAUUAGCUAGUUGGUGGGGUAACGGCUCACCAAGGCGACGAUACAUAGCCGACCUGAGAGGGUGAUCGGCCACACUGGGACUGAGACACGGCCCAG
rnacentral:rRNA from 1 species